rnacentral:misc_RNA from 1 species
CUAUAAACAAUAUCGUUGCACACACUAGCUUGUACAUUCUGUCAUUGGCCCUCACCUUAGGAUAUUUCCAUCAAACUGCUGCUGGUCUCCCAUCCUUUCUUGGAUCGCUUACUGCUGUGAGUGUCCCAUGGAAAAUUUGGCCAUUAUUAGAAUCUCUUCCAUUCUUACGACCCAUUUCAACAGGUUUUUGGAGGCUUUGAACAACAAGCUGGACCAUAGCUCCGGCUGCCUUACCCUCCAGUUUGUGACCCUUCUCUGUCAAAAAGAGCUUCGUUUCCUCAGCAAUCUCUAUGUGAUCGCCAUCGAUCACGGUCCAGUUCUCAUACUUAACAAUAUUAGGCAUUAACUUAUGGUAGACCCUUGGACUCUGAACUGCAGUUAAAGGUUCCAUUCCCAAGA